GACGAACGCUGGCGGCGUGCCUAAUACAUGCAAGUCGAACGCUGAAGGCGGAGCUUGCUUCUCUGGAUGAGUUGCGAACGGGUGAGUAACGCGUAGGUAACCUGCCUGGUAGCGGGGGAUAACUAUUGGAAACGCUAGCUAAUACCGCAUAAUAGUAGAUGUUGCAUGACAUUUGCUUAAAAGGUUCAAUUGCAUCACUACCAGAUGGACCUGCGUUGUAUUAGCUAGUUGGUGGGGUAACGGCUCACCAAGGCGACGAUACAUAGCCGACCUGAGAGGGUGAUCGGCCACACUGGGACUGGGACACGGCCCAGACUCCUGCGGGAGGGAGCCGUAGGGAAUUUUCGGCAAUGGACGGAAGUGUGAACGGGGAACGCCGCGUGAAUGAAGGAGGUUGUCGGAUCGUAAAGCUCUGUUGUAAGAGAAGAACGAGUGUGAGAGUGGAAAGUUCACACUGUGACGGUAUCUUACCAGAAAGCGACGGCUAACUACGUG
rnacentral:rRNA from 1 species